CUUUUCUUGUUAGUUUUUGAAGUAUGGCCUGCCCGCUGACUUGAGUGUUGAAGGGCCGCGGUAUUUUGACCGUGCAAAGGUAGCAUAAUCAUUAGUUCUUUAAUUGUGAUCUGGAAUGAAUGGCUUGACGAGGCACAAGCUGUCUUAAUGUUGAAUGUUUUAUUGAAUUUGGUUUUUGAGUUAAAAUUCUUAGAUGUUUUUGUGGGACGAGAAGACCCUAUAGAGUUUAACAUUUGGUUUAUUUGUUUGUUUGUUGUUUGUUUGUUUUGUUGGUGAGUGGACUUUUUGUUUUGUUGGGGUGAUGGGAGGAAUAUAAUUAACUCCUCUUGAUUUUGGUUAUAUUGAUUUAUAUUUAUUUGAUCC
rnacentral:rRNA from 1 species